AAUACCUUCAGUAUUUGAACACUAAAAUUAAGAAGGAUCUAUAAAAUAUGGAACUGGCUAUAAAUAUAACCAGGUCCUACUUUAAUUUGAAAUUAAAGUGGAUGUAAGGACCCAGGACCAGGUCAGCAGUGAGCAGUGGUGACAUCUCUUUGUGUGACAGUCAAAGCAUCUAGCAGAAGUACCCACUGCAAAAUAUUUUUCUCAUACCUACAGGAGUUCUGGAUGGAAAAUGAAAAGAUGCAUCAGAGCACCAAUUUUGCAUUUAAGAUAAAGGCAUGGAUAUCUUUACAUCAGUGAGACUGAAGAAGUCAGUGGUGCGAAUCCUCCUCUUGUUAGUUCUUGUUUUCUGAAUUGCAAUAAUUAAGAAAAGAAAUACGAUGUGCAAUAAAGCUGGGAUGAAGGAAAAACCACGGUUGCAUUUCACAGCGGAAAAGACAAUUCAGAGAUCUGUGAAAUGUGCCUGAGGGCUCCAGCUUAGUCAUAAGAGGACACCAGGCAGCCAGGCCCAGAUGUAAAUGUUCAGAUUCACAAUCCCAGAGUCCAAAAAAUCUGCCAGUGUGGAGGUUAUAAAUAUCUUGAGGACAAAGUCAGUUGAAAAAAUAAGGGCUAUGUUCCAAGAAAGCAAUGCCGGUGUGUUGAAAGAAACAGGGAAUCAGAGAAAAACUUUAUAAUUGAAAAUAAGCCUUAAGCAAGUGUAAGUUGUGCCAGGUAUUAUAUGGCAUUUGAAUGGCAAAAGCUUGUCAUCCUCUUUUGCUGUUGUUUGGUACUUGCAAUCUUUAAUAACAGUGUAAUUCAGCUCCUUCUUUGUAAAAAUAAAUAGAUAAAUAAAAUGAAGUUUGCA
rnacentral:lncRNA from 1 species